rnacentral:rRNA from 1 species
GACGGGGGCCCGCACAAGCGGUGGAGUAUGUGGUUUAAUUCGAUGCAACGCGAAGAACCUUACCUACCCUUGACAUGCCAGGAAUCCUGCAGAGAUGUGGGAGUGCUCGAAAGAGAACCUGGACACAGGUGCUGCAUGGCUGUCGUCAGCUCGUGUCGUGAGAUGUUGGGUUAAGUCCCGCAACGAGCGCAACCCUUGUCAUUAGUUGCCAUCAUUAAGUUGGGCACUCUAAUGAGACUGCCGGUGACAAACCGGAGGAAGGUGGGGAUGACGUCAAGUCCUCAUGGCCCUUAUGGGUAGGGCUUCACACGUCAUACAAUGGUCGGUACAAAGGGUUGCCAAGCCGCGAGGUGGAGCCAAUCCCAGAAAGCCGAUCGUAGUCCGGAUCGGAGUCUGCAACUCGACUCCGUGAAGUCGGAAUCGCUAGUAAUCGUGGAUCAGCAUGCCACGGUGAAUACGUUCCCGGGUCUU